rnacentral:rRNA from 1 species
AAAGGAAUAGACGGGGGCCCGCACAAGCGGUGGAGCAUGUGGUUUAAUUCGAUGCAACGCGAAGAACCUUACCGGGGCUUGAACUGCAGUGGACAUCCCAUGAAAGUGGGCUUCCUUCGGGACCGCUGUAGAGGUGCUGCAUGGUUGUCGUCAGCUCGUGUCGUGAGAUGUUGGGUUAAGUCCCGCAACGAGCGCAACCCCUGUCCUUAGUUGCCAACAGCUCGGCUGGGAACUCUAAGGAGACUGCCGACCCUAAGUCGGAGGAAGGUGGGGACGACGUCAAAUCCUCAUGGCCCUUACGUCCCGGGCUACACACGUGCUACAAUGGCCGGUACAAAGGGUUGCAAGACCGCAAGGUGGAGCUAAUCCCAAAAAACCGGUCUCAGUUCAGAUCGAAGUCUGCAACUCGACUUCGUGAAGGCGGAAUCGCUAGUAAUCGCGGAUCAGAAUGCCGCGGUGAAUACGUUCCCGGGCCUUGUACACACCGCCCGU